rnacentral:misc_RNA from 1 species
UCUCCGUUGGUGAACCAGCGGAGGGAUCAUUACAGGAUCGAAAGACUCCUAUAACCCCUGUGAGCUUACUACAAAUACGUUGCUUCGGCGGGUGCCCCGGGUCUCCCGGGGCGUUCAGCCCGCCGGCAGCCUUCAAAUUCUGUUUCUUUGCGUUGGCAUCUCGAGUAUACAAAAAUAAGUUAAAACUUUCAACAACGGAUCUCUUGGUUCUG